rnacentral:rRNA from 1 species
GAUUUCUGGUCUGGUGCGCCUGGCCCAGGACGCAAGUCUUCGAGUGCCGGGUCGCGCCUGCCAUCCUUCUAGAGAACGUGCCUACCCUUCACUGGGCCGGGUAACGCCAUCUAGAUCUUUUACUUUGAAAAAAUUAGAGUGUUUAAAGCAGGCUGUUGCUAUGAAUACAUUAGCAUGGAAUAAUAAUUUAGGACUUCGGUUCUAUUUUGUUGGUCUUCUAGGACUGAAGUAAUGAUUGAUAGGGAUAGUUGGGGGUGCUAGUAUUCAGUGGCCAGAGGUGAAAUUCUCGGAUUCACUGAAGACUAACUUAUGCGAAAGCAUU